rnacentral:rRNA from 1 species
AUUGCCUCAGUAACGGCGAGUGAAGCGGCAACAGCUCAAAUUUGAAAUCUGGCCCUAGGCCCGAGUUGUAAUUUGCAGAGGAUGCUUUUGGCAAGGUGCCUUCCGAGUUCCCUGGAACGGGACGCCAUAGAGGGUGAGAGCCCCGUCUGGUCGGACACCGAGCCUCUGUAAAGCUCCUUCGACGAGUCGAGUAGUUUGGGAAUGCUGCUCAAAAUGGGAGGUAUAUGUCUUCUAAAGCUAAAUACCGGCCAGAGACCGAUAGCGCACAAGUAGAGUGAUCGAAAGAUGAAAAGCACUUUGAAAAGAGAGUUAAAUAGCACGUGAAAUUGUUGAAAGGGAAGCGUUUAUGACCAGACUUGGCCCGGUUGAUCAUCCAGCCUUCUGGCUGGUGCACUCUGCCGGUCCAGGCCAGCAUCAGUUCGUCGCGGGGGACAAAGGUUUCGGGAAUGUAGCUCCUCCGGGAGUGUUAUAGCCCGUUGCGUAAUACCCUGCGGUGGACUGAGGUCCGCGCUCUGCAAGGAUGCUGGCGUAAUGGUCAUCAACGACCCGUCUUGAAACACGGACCAAGGAGUCGUCUUCGUAUGCGAGUGUUCGGGUGUAAAACCCCUACGCGUAAUGAAAGUGAACGCAGGUGAGAGCUUCGGCGCAUCAUCGACCGAUCCUGAUGUUCUCGGAUGGAUUUGAGUAAGAGCAUACGGGGCCGGACCCGAAAGAAGGUGAACUAUGCCUGUAUAGGGUGAAGCCAGAGGAAACUCUGGUGGAGGCUCGCAGCGGUUCUGACGUGCAAAUCGAUCGUCAAAUAUGGGCAUGGGGGCGAAAGACUAAU